UAAAAAUCAAACGAACUUACCAAGUGAAGUUCGAUGAUAAUUGUGUGAACAGAUUCAUUCGAAGCGAUUUAUGGUUUACAUAACGUAUAGUGGCAUUGCCAUGCACUACCUUCACGCACAUUUGUAUCAAAAUUUAAAAAAAAUAUAUAAAAUUGUUGUUUACCCCCACUUUCUACCCUCACCUACGGUGAGCAGCGCCCGCUCUUGGCUCAUUGAGUUUAACGUGUGGCAACUUUCAGAUUUAUUUCACACUUCAGGGUCGGGAAAUUGUAGCAGUAAAAUGAAUGAAAAUCAUGAGUUUUGAAGUAUGGGAGGGUGACUGACCAUAAAUCGCUUCGAAUGAAUCUGUUCACACAAUUAUCAUCGAACUUCACUUGGUAAGUUCGUUUGAUUUUUAAUUGUGUUUCACAGAUUCAUUCUCGCGAUUUAUGGUUUACAUAACGUAUAGAUGUUCAGAGAACUUGUGAAAUAAAUUGGAGAGUGUGGGAUAAGUUUUAAUAUUAACAAUCAGAUUAUUAAGGAUAGACCUGGCAAAAUCAAUAUCUAUAAUUUCUUUAUUAUAAAACCUCGCAAAUACUUUAGAUGAAUCAGUCCAGCCAGCAGUUUUACGAAUAACAUCAAUACUGACUCCACACCUAUUAGCAGUAGAUGUAGCAGCAUGGCGAGUACUGUGUCCUGUGAAAAUUGACGUGUUUAUACCACUAUCUUUCAGUGUAUUUUUUAUCCAGUGGCUUAAUCUUUGUGUAGACAAUUUUGAAAAUGGUUUCUUAUAACUAAUAAAUAAAAAUUGAUUGCCUACGUGACGUAA